rnacentral:rRNA from 1 species
UGUGCUAAUACCGUAUGUGUCCUUCGGGAGAAAGAUUUAUCGGCAAAGGAUGAGCCCGCGUUGGAUUAGCUAGUUGGUGGGGUAAAGGCCUACCAAGGCGACGAUCCAUAGCUGGUCUGAGAGGAUGAUCAGCCACAUUGGGACUGAGACACGGCCCAAACUCCUACGGGAGGCAGCAGUGGGGAAUAUUGGACAAUGGGCGCAAGCCUGAUCCAGCCAUGCCGCGUGAGUGAUGAAGGCCUUAGGGUUGUAAAGCUCUUUCACCGGAGAAGAUAAUGACGGUAUCCGGAGAAGAAGCCCCGGCUAACUUCGUGCCAGCAGCCGCGGUAAUACGAAGGGGGCUAGCGUUGUUCGGAUUUACUGGGCGUAAAGCGCACGUAGGCGGAUCGAUCAGUCAGGGGUGAAAUCCCAGAGCUCAACUCUGGAACUGCCUUUGAUACUGUCGAUCUGGAGUAUGGAAGAGGUGAGUGGAAUUCCGAGUGUAGAGGUGAAAUUCGUAG